rnacentral:rRNA from 1 species
AUUGAACGCUGGCGCCAUGCUUUACACAUGCAAGUCGAACGGUAACAGGGUGCUUGCACCGCUGACGAGUGGCGAACGGGUGAGUAAUGCGUCGGAACGUGCCGAGUAGUGGGGGAUAACGCAGCGAAAGUUGUGCUAAUACCGCAUACGUACUGAGGUAGAAAGUGGGGGACCUUCGGGCCUCACGCUAUUCGAGCGGCCGACGUCUGAUUAGCUAGUAGGUGAGGUAAAGGCUCACCUAGUCGACGAUCAGUAGCGGGUCUGCGAGGAUGAUCCGCCACACUGGGACUGAGCACCGGCCCAGACUCGUACGGGAGGCAGCAGUGGUGAAUUUUAGACAAUGGGCGAAAGCCUGUUCCAUGCAUGCCGCGUGUCUGAAGAAGGCCUUCGGGUUGUAAAGGACUUUUGUCAGGGAGGAAAUCCCCAGCGUUAAUACCGCUGGGGGAUGACAGUACCUGAAGAAUAAGCACCGGCUAACUACGUGCCAGCAGCCGCAGUAACAC